rnacentral:rRNA from 1 species
GAUGAACGCUAGCUACAGGCUUAACACAUGCAAGUCGAGGGGCAGCAUGGUCUUAGCUUGCUAAGGCCGAUGGCGACCGGCGCACGGGUGAGUAACACGUAUCCAACCUGCCGUCUACUCUUGGACAGCCUUCUGAAAGGAAGAUUAAUACAAGAUGGCAUCAUGAGUCCACAUGUUCACAUGAUUAAAGGUAUUCCGGUAGACGAUGGGGAUGCGUUCCAUUAGAUAGUAGGCGGGGUAACGGCCCACCUAGUCUUCGAUGGAUAGGGGUUCUGAGAGGAAGGUCCCCCACAUUGGAACUGAGACACGGUCCAAACUCCUACGGGAGGCAGCAGUGAGGAAUAUUGGUCAAUGGGCGAGAGCCUGAACCAGCCAAGUAGCGUGAAGGAUGACUGCCCUAUGGGUUGUAAACUUCUUUUAUAAAGGAAUAAAGUCGGGUAUGGAUACCCGUUUGCAUGUACUUUAUGAAUAAGGAUCGGCUAACUCCGUGCCAGCAGCCGCGGUAAUACGGAGGAUCCGAGCGUUAUCCGGAUUUAUUGGGUUUAAAGGGAGCGUAGAUGGAUGUUUAAGUCAGUUGUGAAAGUUUGCGGCUCGACCGUAAAAUUGCAGUUGAUACUGGAUAUCUUGAGUGCAGUUGAGGCAGGCGGAAUUCGUGGUGUAGCGGUGAAAUGCUUAGAUAUCACGAAGAACUCCGAUUGCGAAGGCAGCCUGCUAAGCUGCAACUGACAUUGAGGCUCGAAAGUGUGGGUAUCAAACAGGAUUAGAUACCCUGGUAGUCCACACGGUAAACGAUGAAUACUCGCUGUUUGCGAUAUACAGCAAGCGGCCAAGCGAAAGCGUUAAGUAUUCCACCUGGGGAGUACGCCGGCAACGGUGAAACUCAAAGGAAUUGACGGGGGCCCGCACAAGCGGAGGAACAUGUGGUUUAAUUCGAUGAUACGCGAGGAACCUUACCCGGGCUUAAAUUGCAGAUGAAUUACGGUGAAAGCCGUAAGCCGCAAGGCAUCUGUGAAGGUGCUGCAUGGUUGUCGUCAGCUCGUGCCGUGAGGUGUCGGCUUAAGUGCCAUAACGAGCGCAACCCUUGUUGUCAGUUACUAACAGGUUCCGCUGAGGACUCUGACAAGACUGCCAUCGUAAGAUGUGAGGAAGGUGGGGAUGACGUCAAAUCAGCACGGCCCUUACGUCCGGGGCUACACACGUGUUACAAUGGGGGGUACAGAGGGCCGCUACCACGCGAGUGGAUGCCAAUCCCAAAAACCUCUCUCAGUUCGGACUGGAGUCUGCAACCCGACUCCACGAAGCUGGAUUCGCUAGUAAUCGCGCAUCAGCCACGGCGCGGUGAAUACGUUCCCGGGCCU